UUUCGAUCGAGCCCUUAACGUUGUCGAAUCUAGUUGAAUUUUUUACCAUAGACAUCUUUCGUCAUAAUGAUCAUAUCUGACGGUCAAAUUUUGGUUUGUAAAUUUUAGUCAUCGGAAUCACAACGUGUCUACUAUUUACCGUUAUUAUUCCCUAUGGGGAGCCCUAUCGUCGGAAGGUAAAUGUCUCAAAUUUUAUAUGGGCAGUUGCGUCUCAUCUACGUGAGAGUUUUUUGUGUGGAAGGUUUGACCAAACUACGUAAUAUAGAGGAAGAUAUGAGCGUUUUCGUGUGAUAAGUGACGAUGGAUUAGGGUUGACUGUUUCGAUCGAGCCCUUAACGUUGUCGGAUCUAGUUGAAUUUUUAUUCAUAGACAUCUUUCGUCAUAAUGAUCAUAUCUGACGGUCGAAUUUUGGUUUGUGAAUUUUAGUCAUCGGAAUCACAACGUGUCUACUAAUGUUGUAUAACUUCUUUAGUAGGUUAUACAACUUUGUGAACCAACUCUACAUAGGAAGAAAAUUAAUUAAAAUACUUGUGAAUAAGAUGUGUUCAGAAUGGUGAAAUAAGGCUAUGGUUCAAAAAUACACGUAAAUACGGGUAAAGUCUCGGUGCCGAUAGUAGCGGUCAACCCUAUUUACCGUUAUUAUUCCCUAUGGGGAGCCCUAUCGUUGGAAGGUAAAUGUCUCAAAAUUUUUAUAUAGGCGGUUGCGUCUCAUCUACGUGAGAUUUUUUCGUGUGGAAGGUUUGACCAAACUACGUAAUAUAGGGGGAGAUAUGAGCGUUUUCGUGAAUUUAUAGACUUUAGCCGACGAGAUAUUAAAAAAGUCGUUGGCUAAGGUCAAAAAAUUUCAAAAUUUUUUGGGCGGUAAACCAAAGUUGGAGGAAAAUUUUCAAAGGACUUUAGCCGACGAAAAUAU
rnacentral:lncRNA from 1 species